rnacentral:rRNA from 1 species
AGUGAACGCUGGCGGCGUGGAUUAGGCAUGCAAGUCGAACGGCAGCACGGGAGCUUGCUCCUGGUGGCGAGUGGCGGACGGGUGAGUAACACGUAGGAAUCUGCCUGGUAAUGGGGGGAUAACCCGGGGAAACUCGGGCUAAUACCGCAUACGCUCCACGGAGGAAAGCGGGGGAUCUUCGGACCUCGCGUUAUCAGAUGAGCCUGCGUCCGAUUAGCUGGUUGGUGGGGUAAAGGCCCACCAAGGCGACGAUCGGUAGCUGGUCUGAGAGGACGAUCAGCCACACUGGAACUGAGACACGGUCCAGACUCCUACGGGAGGCUG